AUACUCGUCGAAGGUGUUGGUA
rnacentral:siRNA from 1 species